rfam:Otolemur garnettii contig041320, whole genome shotgun sequence.
GCCGGGCAUUUUGGCGUGCGCCUGUAGUCCCAGCUACUUGGGAGGCUGAGACAGGAGGAUCACUUGAGUCCAGGAGUUCUGGAUUGUAGUGUGCUAGGCCUAUCAAGUGUCUGCACUAAGUUUGGCAUCAAUAUGGUGACCUCCUGGGAGCAGGGGCCACCAGUUUGCCUAAGGAGGGGUGAACAGGCCAAGUCGGAAAUGGAGCAGGUCAGAGCUCCCAUGCUGAUCAAUAGUGGGAUCCUGCCUGUGAAUAGCCACUGCACUCCAGCCUGGGCAACAUAGCGAGACCCCAUCUCUA